rnacentral:piRNA from 1 species
GUAUCGGUGUAGACCAUGUGGCACGGA